GGAAUUGUGCCUGAACUACAAGGGCUACUUUGAUAGAGUAAAUUAUAAGGGUUAAAAUCCCUUCAAUUCCU
rnacentral:tRNA from 2 species